rnacentral:rRNA from 1 species
GUGGAUUAGAUACCCUGGUAGUCCACACCGUAAACGAUGAUUACUAGAUUUUGGCCUUAUGGUCAGAGUCCAAGCGAAAGUGUUAAGUAAUCCACCUGGGGAGUACGUCCGCAAGGAUGAAACUCAAAGGAAUUGACGGGGGCCCGCACAAGCGGUGGAGCAUGUGGUUUAAUUCGAUGAUACGCGAGGAACCUUACCUGGGCUUGAAAGUUAGUGACCGAUCCUGAAAGGGGUCUUUCCGCAAGGACACGAAACUAGGUGCUGCACGGCUGUCGUCAACU